rnacentral:rRNA from 1 species
UACGAGGGGUGCAAGCGUUGCUCGGAAUUAUUGGGCGUAAAGGGUAGGUAGGUGGUCUCAUUUGUCUGGGGUGAAAGCCCGGAGCUUAACUCCGGAAGUGCCUCAGAAACGGUGAGACUCGAGUACUGGAGAGGGUCGUGGAAUUCCCGGUGUAGCGGUGAAAUGCGUAGAGAUCGGGAGGAACACCAGAGGCGAAGGCGGUUGCCUGGGGCUUUGCUGACGCUGAUGCGCGAAAGCGUGGGGAGCGAGUCCGG